AUGAACGCUGGCGGCGUGGAUAAGGCAUGCAAGUCGAGCGCGUAAAUGUGAGAUUACAUCAAAUAUUUGCGAGCGGCAGACGAGGUAGUAAUAAAUAGGUACCAACCCUUGAGUCGGGAAUAACUUGUCGAAAGACAGGCUAAAGCUCGAUAGUCUCUUCGGAGUAAAGUUUACGCUCGAGGAUGGGCCUAUUCGGUAUCAGCUAGUUGGUAAGGUAAUGGCUUACCAAGGCUAAGACGCCUAGGGGGGGUGAGAGCCUGUUCCCCACCGAUGGGACUGAGACACGGCCCAUACACCUACGGGUGGCUGCAGUCGAGAAUCUUCCGCAAUGGGCGAAAGCCUGACGGAGCGACGCCGCGUGAAGGAUGAAGUAUUUCGGUAUGUAAACUUCUUUUAUCUGGGAAGAAAUUAUUGACGGUACCAGAUGAAUAAGGGGUUGCUAAACUCGU
rnacentral:rRNA from 1 species